rnacentral:tRNA from 1 species
GACGGGAUGGCUGAGUGUUUAAGCGGUGGAUUGUAACCCCACCGAGGGAGGUUUAAUUCCUCUUCGCGUCA